rnacentral:rRNA from 1 species
AACGAACGCUGGCGGCAUGCCUAACACAUGCAAGUCGAACGAGACCUUCGGGUCUAGUGGCGCACGGGUGCGUAACGCGUGGGAACCUGCCCUUAGGUUCGGAAUAACUCCCCGAAAGGGGUGCUAAUACCGGAUAAUGUCUUCGGACCAAAGAUUUAUCGCCCUUGGAUGGGCCCGCGUUGGAUUAGCUAGUUGGUAGGGUAAAAGCCUACCAAGGCGACGAUCCAUAGCUGGUCUGAGAGGAUGAUCAGCCACACUGGGACUGAGACACGGCCCAGACUCCUACGGGAGGGAGCAGUGGGGAAUAUUGGAAAAUGGGCGAAAGCCUGAUGCAGCAAUGCCGCGUGAGUGAUGAAGGCCUUAGAGUUGUAAAGCUCUUUUACCCGGGAUGAUAAUGACAGUACCGGGAGAAUAAGCUCCGGCUAACUCCGUG